UGUGGCGUCGCGCAAAAACCAGACUAUUGGUGAGAGACAAUAAAUGCGCUAGGACGUCAUUUAAAUACGCGUGUCAUCAAACUUUUGUCUGGCGCGCGUCGCGAGGAAAAACAAAACAAACAACCCGCGGGGAAAAAAAAAUGUCAGGCGCAUUUUUAUUUUUCAGAACUGUGGAUAUCGGCUCGAUAUAUUUGGUGGCGGGUUCGGAUACAUGUUGAUUGAAUUUAAUUCCCUUGGCUGAAAUCCAUGAAGGCACGGGAUCUACAGAGCAACUGUAUUAGUGCAGUGAGAACAAGACAUCUCAGAACCAACAUACAGCUGACUGCAGCCCUUCAAGAAGUACUUUAAGACUCUGAUAUGGGAUUCACCAUUACCACAGCUUCAGAUUUGAGUCAUUGGAACGUGGCAUUUUUAAGACUGGAACAUGAAGAAAGCAAACAAUGCAGAGGAAGAAAAUUAUCCCCUUUGGUGAACCCUGCUGACAUAGUCUCUCAGAUACUCCCUGAUAAGCUAUCAACUGGAUUUUCCAAAUAGAGGGAAUGUGAUAUAUGGAAAGAUCUUAGAUGAGGACAAGGCACCUCGCGGCCUCCGCGGCCUCCCCGGUAGGAGAGGAAAUUGAAUAAUGAAUACAUGUUUUACUUUGAAUGAACAAACUCUGAAGUUUUUCGAUAAAAAAAUUAAACUUAAUUUGUAACGUUUGCUAACCAAUUAGAAGGAUGUCAUUGUAGAAAAUUGAAAUGUGGUAAGUUUGCUGCUGUAUUAAGAAGUUUGUGAUAAUGUUAAACACACACACUAGGGAGAGAUUAUCGUGUUUUAUAUAAUUUUUAGUGCAAAUUUGGACAGUGGAGAGCGAUGCACAUUCCUGAGUUUUGCUAAUACUGCUGCAUAGAAGAGAGUAAAUGUAUGUAGUCUCUUCCAUAUCAAGAAUUAAACUCUGAUAUUAUUUUUUUAU